rnacentral:misc_RNA from 1 species
GUCAUGGUCCACAUGGCCAUCUUGUCGCACGCAAAGUAAGGGAUGCACUGCCCUUGAAGCUAGCGUCGUUUUUGCAAUCAUUUGACUCAAAGCACAAUGGUUCUACUGCAAAUUGCUGCGGUGGUGAUAAAAAAUUGGAUGUGGUGGAUCCUGAUAAGGAUGGAGGGAUGGAGGAUAAAGUGGACUACUUGUGGAGAGAAGCUUUCCUUAAAUCAUACAAGGCCAUGGAUAAAGAACUAAGGUCCCACCCUAAUUUAGAUUGCUUUUGUAGUGGGAGCACUGCCAUUACACUUGUGAAACAGGGUUCAAAUCUUUUUAUGGGCUAUAUUGGUGAUUCUCGGGCAAUCAUGGCAUCAAAAGACAGUAAUGAUUCAAUGGUGGCAGUUCAAUUGACUGUUGAUCUCAAGCCUGACUUACCCAAGGAAGCUGAGAGGAUAAAACGAUGUAAAGGUCGGGUUUUUGCUUUGCAAGAUGAGCCUGAGGUGCAGAGAGUGUGGCUGCCAUUUGAUGAUGCCCCUGGUUUAGCAAUGGC